rnacentral:lncRNA from 1 species
AUGCAUCAAAAACCUAAGUGCUGAUGGAGGUCAGGGAGCAGCUACCGAGGUCAGAAAGGAUACGCACACACUUCGAAAAGCACAAUCCUAACAAGUUCUGCCUCUAUCAUUGUGACCACGACCACGACACGGAGGAGUGCAUUCAGUUCUGAGACGAGAUUGAGGAGCUCAUCAGAUGAGGUUGGCUCGACAGAUUCAUACAAUGCCAGCCUGAAGGUAGGGAAGAUCGGUCGAGGGCCCUGCCACAACCGGAGCCACCAAGAUGGGAGGAGCAGCCUGA